AUUGAACGCUGGCGGCAGGCCUAACACAUGCAAGUCGAGCGGAGCGGCGGACGGGAGAGUAAUGCCUAGGAAUCUGCAUGGUAGCGGGGGAUAACGUCCGGAUACGGGCGCUAAUAUCGCAUACUAUCAGAUGAGCCUAGGUCGGAUUAGCUAGUUGGUGGGGUAAAGGCCUACCAAGGCGACGAUCCGUAACUGGUCUGUGAGGAUGAUCAGUCACACUGGAACUAGGACACGGUCCGAACUCCUACGUGAGACAACAGUGGAGAAUAUUAGACAAUGGGCGAGAGCCUAGUCCAGCCAUGCGGCGUGUGUGAAGAAGGUCUUCGGAGUGUAAAGCACUUUAAGUUGGGAGGCGUUACCAACAGAAUAAGCACCGGCUAACUUCGUGCCAGCAGCCGCGGUAAUAC
rnacentral:rRNA from 1 species